GAUCGCUCAGGGUCACACCUGGAGAGUUUCUAGUACUCUACCAGUCUUGACUAUGGGAGGGAGAGUCAAGCAGAGGCCUACCCAUUCCAUUCCUAGCUUUGGCAGUGGCUAGCAAGUGGAAGGCAAUCUGCUACAAGU
rnacentral:snoRNA from 1 species